rnacentral:rRNA from 1 species
CUCCUACGGGAGGCAGCAGUGGGGAAUUUUGGACAAUGGGGGCAACCCUGAUCCAGCCAUUCCGCGUGAGUGAAGAAGGCCUUCGGGUUGUAAAGCUCUUUCAGCCGGAACGAAACGGUAUGUCUUAAUACGAUGUGCUAAUGACGGUACCGGCAGAAGAAGCACCGGCUAACUACGUGCCAGCAGCCGCGGUAAUACGUAGGGUGCGAGCGUUAAUCGGAAUUACUGGGCGUAAAGCGUGCGCAGGCGGAUUGUUAAGCAAGAUGUGAAAUCCCCGGGCUUAACCUGGGAAUGGCAUUUUGAACUGGCAGUCUAGAGUGUGUCAGAGGGGGGUGGAAUUCCACGUGUAGCAGUGAAAUGCGUAGAUAUGUGGAGGAACACCAAUGGCGAAGGCAGCCCCCUGGGAUAACACUGACGCUCAUGUACGAAAGCGUGGGUAGCAAACAGGAUUAGAUACCCUGGUAGUCCACGCCCUAAACGAUGUCAACUGGUUGUUGGGGGAGUGAAAUCCCUUAGUAACGAAGCUAACGCGUGAAGUUGACCGCCUGGGGAGUACGGUCGCAAGAUUAAAACUCAAAUGAAUUGACGG